rnacentral:rRNA from 1 species
CGUGAGUGAUGAAGGCUUUCGGGUCGUAAAGCUCUGUCAAGUGGGAAGAACAAGCUUGAUGUUAAUACCAUCAUGAACUGACGGUACCACUGUAGGAAGCACCGGCUAACUCCGUGCCAGCAGCCGCGGUAAUACGGGGGGUGCAAGCGUUAUUCGGAAUCAUUGGGCGUAAAGAGCGCGUAGGCGGCCCUUUAAGUCAGAUGUGAAAUCCCGGGGCUUAACCCCGGAAGUGCAUUUGAAACUAUUGGGCUUGAGUAUGGGAGAGGGAAGUGGAAUUCCUGGUGUAGAGGUGAAAUUCGUAGAUAUCAGGAGGAACACCGGUGGCGAAGGCGACUUCCUGGACCAAUACUGACGCUGAGGCGCGAAGGCGUGGGGAGCAAACAGGAUUAGAUACCCUGGUAGUCCACGCAGUAAACGUUGAACACUAGGUGUAGCGGGUAUUGACCCCUGCUGUGCCGCAGUUAACGCAUUAA